rnacentral:rRNA from 1 species
AACGAACGCUGGCGGCGUGCCUAACACAUGCAAGUCGAACGAGAAAGGGGCUUCGGCCCUGAGUAAAGUGGCGCACGGGUGAGUAACGCGUGGGUAAUCUGCCCUCGAGCGGGGGAUAACAUUCCGAAAGGAGUGCUAAUACCGCAUGAGACCACGUUUCUGCGGAGAUGUGGGAAAAGAUGGGGAUCUUCGGACCUGUCACUUGGGGAUGAGCCCGCGUACCAUUAGGUAGUUGGUGAGGUAAUGGCUCACCAAGCCGAACGAUGGUUAGCUGGUCUCGAGAGGAUGAUCAGCCACACUCGGACUGAGACACGGCCCAGACUCCUACGGGAGCAGCAGUGGG